rnacentral:lncRNA from 1 species
AGAGAAGGACGGCCCAACCCUAGAGAGAGGCGGCUUAGAGAGAAAAGGAAACCGUCUUUCAUUUUCCUUAAACUUGUUAUCUUUCUAUUAUUAUGUAUUAGUAGUUUUCGUAAUCCUAGUAAGUUUAGGUUUUGGAUACUUUCCAUUUUACUUAUCUUGUAAUCCUUAUAUAAAGGAAUCCCUUUGAUAAUUAAUAAUAACACAAAAAUAUUCAGUCUCUAAACUCUCUAAUUAUAACUGACUGAGAAUAUAUAUGAUUUGCGUCUAAGAUAUAUUCAACUUAUUGUCACAAAAAACUUAAUAAAAAAAAUAUAUACUUUGUUUUAAGGACAUUAAAAAUUACCUUAAAAAUUUUAACAUUUUAAAAAAAAAUAUGAAUCAAUAAUAUUAAUAUAAAAUUUUAUCCAAAAAACUCAGCACUAAAUAAAUGCAUAAACAAAAAAACAAACAAACCCUAAACCCUAUAAUCUUAAGCAUUAUUCUAAACCAAACCUUAAACCCAACCUAAACCAAACGCUAAACCAUUCUUACUACCUAAACCCUAAAUUCUACCUAACCCUAGACUCUACCUAAACCUAGACCUUAACCUAUCUAAUCCUAAACCCUACAUAAACCUAACCCUAAUCCCUAAACCCUUCAUACUACCUAAACCCUAAACCUACCUAACCCUAAACGCAAACCCUACCUAACCCUAAACCCUUCAUACUACCUAAACCCUAAACCUAC